GUGCCAGCAGCCGCGGUAAGACGAACCGUGCGAACGUUGUUCGGAAUCACUGGGCUUAAAGGGCGCGUAGGCGGGCCACAAAGUCAGGGGUGAAAUCCUCCAGCUCAACUGGAGAACUGCCUUUGAUACUGGUGGUCUUGAGUGGGGUAGGGGCAUGCGGAACAAUGGGUGGAGCGGUGAAAUGCGUUGAUAUCCAUUGGAACUCCGGUGGCGAAAGCGGCGUGCUGGACCUCUACUGACGCUGAGGCGCGAAAGCCAGGGGAGCAAACGGGAUUAGAAACCCCUGUAGUCC
rnacentral:rRNA from 1 species